CCCCUUUCGGCCUCGGCGCACGACUCGGCUCAGUCCAGUUCAAGAUGCUGGCAAACAGGGCUGGUGCUUGAAAGCUUUUCGAGGAGAUAAGGUGUGUUUGAACAUGUGACGAUUGAUAUAUACAGAGUCGAGGUUUUUGCUUACUGUCCCUUUCAUGGUGGUAGCAGGGGAGGACUUUUGAAAAGGUGCCAAAUAUCUGCAAGAACAUAUAUCUGCCCCAUAGAGGAUUUCUGUAGAAUUCAAUUCCAUUUAAACUAUUUUAAAUCGUUUUUCUGCCAACCAGCCCCAGCCUUCUGAAGCUCAACAUAGUAACUAGACUAGCUAUUCUAUCAAUACAGCUAUCUUAAGAAAACUGUCAGCUGCUUGAAUUUACAAAGGUUAGUUCUAAAUCCCAUACUUUUGACUAUUCUAAACAUUGUAUGUUUCAAAGUAUCCUUUUAAAAACUUGUUUUUUUGUGCUUACAGUUUUUCCUAUAAUAGAUUAUUUUGAUGAUUAAAUUUUACCCCUUAGACAGAAAACGAUCAGUGGAUUCCUAAGGAUCAGGGAGGAGUUUUUUGCAUAGGGUUUGGUGGGGGUUGGGUGUUGAAGAACUGCUCUACACUUUGAUUAUGGUGCUGAUUGCCUUUGUCAAAUUUUGGAGUGAGUUUUACCAAAUGUAAAUUCAACUUCAAUAAACAUGGCUUUAAAAACUUACCCUUUCUGGCAUCUUAAUGACAUUUCCAAUGAAAUCUGUGGGAAGACAGUCUUCGGUCGGUAAUUGAAUGAUUUACUGAGAUUAAAGUGGCAAAAACAUCAAAAUUACCUUGGGGCCAUGUAAGUGACUCUUGCACAUAUACUCAAGAAACUAUCAGUGUAUAUCCUCACCCAUCAAGGGUGUACAGGUUCUCUUUAUGGAUGGUUCAGGCAACAGCACAUACUCAUUGUCUUAACAGCUGCAAUUUCAAUCCCAUU